rnacentral:rRNA from 1 species
GACGAACGCUGGCGGCGUGCUUAACCCAUGCAAGUCGAGCGGUAAGGCCCUUUCGGGGGUACACGAGCGGCGAACGGGUGAGUAACACGUGGGUGACCUGCCCUCAGCUCUGGGAUAAGCCUGGGAAACCGGGUCUAAUACUGGAUAUGACUCCAUGACGCAUGUUGUGGGGUGGAAAGCCUUGUGCGGCUGAGGAUGGGCCCGCGGCCUAUCAGCUUGUUGGUGGGGUGANGGGCCUACCAAGGCGACGACGGGUAGCCGGCCUGAGAGGGCGACCGGCCACACUGGGACUGAGACACGGCCCAGACUCCUACGGGAGGCAGCAGUGGGGAAUCUUGCGCAAUGGGCGAAAGACCUGACGCAGCGACGCCGCGUGAGGGAG